rnacentral:rRNA from 1 species
AUUGAACGCUGGCGGUAGGCCUAACACAUGCAAGUCGAACGGUAACGGACCGCUGGGAUUCCUUCGGGAUGACCUUGGUGCCGACGAGUGGCGGACGGGUGAGUAACACGUAGGAAUCUGCCCAACAGAGGGGGACAACCCGGAGAAAUCCGGGCUAAUACCGCAUACGCCCUAUUGGGGAAAGCGGGGGAUCUUCGGACCUCGCGCUGUUGGAGGAGCCUGCGUCGGAUUAGCUUGUUGGUGAGGUAAUGGCUCACCAAGGCUACGAUCCGUAGCUGGUCUGAGAGGAUGAUCAGCCACACUGGGACUGAGACACGGCCCAG